GACGAACGCUGGCGGCGUGCUUAACACAUGCAAGUCGAACGAUGAAGCCUAGCUUGCUAGGUGGAUUAGUGGCGAACGGGUGAGUAAUACGUGAGUAACCUACCUUUAACUCUGGGAUAAGCCUGGGAAACUGGGUCUAAUACCGGAUACGACCAAUCUCCGCAUGGGGUGUUGGUGGAAAGCGUUAUGUAGUGGUUAUAGAUGGGCUCACGGCCUAUCAGCUUGUUGGUGAGGUAACGGCUCACCAAGGCGACGACGGGUAGCCGGCCUGAGAGGGUGACCGGCCACACUGGGACUGAGACACGGCCCAGACUCCUACGGGAGGCAGCAGUGGGGAAUAUUGCACAAUGGGCGCAAGCCUGAUGCAGCGACGCCGCGUGAGGGAUGACGGCCUUCGGGUUGUAAACCUCUGUUAGCAGGGAAGAAGAGAAAUUGACGGUACCUGCAGAGAAAGCGCCGGCUAACUACGUGCCAGCAGCCGCGGUAAUACGUAGGGCGCGAGCGUUGUCCGGAAUUAUUGGGCGUAAAGAGCUUGUGGCGGUUUGUCGCGUCUGCUGUGAAGGCCGGGGCUUAACUCCGUGUAUUGCAGUGGGUACGGGCAGACUAGAGUGCAGUAGGGGAGACUGGAACUCCUGGUGUAGCGGUGGAAUGCGCAGAUAUCAGGAAGAACACCGAUGGCGAAGGCAGGUCUCUGGGCUGUAACUGACGCUGAGAAGCGAAAGCAUGGGGAGCGAACAGGAUUAGAUACCCUGGUAGUCCAUGCCGUAAACGUUGGGCACUAGGUGUGGGGGACAUUCCACGUUUUCCGCGCCGUAGCUAACGCAUUAAGUGCCCCGCCUGGGGAGUACGGCCGCAAGGCUAAAACUCAAAGAAAUUGACGGGGGCCCACACAAGCGGCGGAGCAUGCGGAUUAAUUCGAUGCAACGCGAAGAACCUUACCAAGGCUUGACAUAUACUGGACUGCAUCAGAGAUGGUGUUUCCCUUCGGGGCUGGUAUACAGGUGGUGCAUGGUUGUCGUCAGCUCGUGUCGUGAGAUGUUGGGUUAAGUCCCGCAACGAGCGCAACCCUCGUUCUAUGUUGCCAGCACGUUAUGGUGGGGACUCAUAGGAGACUGCCGGGGUCAACUCGGAGGAAGGUGGGGAUGACGUCAAAUCAUCAUGCCCCUUAUGUCUUGGGCUUCACGCAUGCUACAAUGGCCGGUACAGAGGGUUGCGAUACUGUGAGGUGGAGCUAAUCCCUAAAAGCCGGUCUCAGUUCGGAUUGGGGUCUGCAACUCGACCCCAUGAAGUCGGAGUCGCUAGUAAUCGCAGAUCAGCAACGCUGCGGUGAAUACGUUCCCGGGCCU
rnacentral:rRNA from 1 species